GAUUAAGUUAUUAAGGGCGCACGGUGGAUGCCUUGGCACUAGAAGCCGACGAAGGACGUUACUAACGACGAUAUGCUUUGGGGAGCUGUAAGUAAGCUUUGAUCCAGAGAUUUCCGAAUGGGGAAACCCAGCACGAGUUAUGUCGUGUUAUCGAUAUGUGAAUACAUAGCAUAUCUGAAGGCAGACGCGGAGAACUGAAACAUCUUAGUACCCGCAGGAAGAGAAAGAAAAAUCGAUUCCCUGAGUAGCGGCGAGCGAAACGGGAAGAGCCCAAACCAACGAGCUUGCUUGUUGGGGUUGUAGGACACUCUAUACGGAGUUACAAAAGAACAGACUAGACGAAUCAUCUGGAAAGAUGAAUCAAAGAAGGUAAUAAUCCUGUAGUCGAAAGUUUGUUCACUCUUGAGUGGAUCCUGAGUACGACGGAACACGAGAAAUUCCGUCGGAAUCUGGGAGGACCAUCUCCCAAGGCUAAAUACUCUCUAGUGACCGAUAGUGAACCAGUACCGUGAGGGAAAGGUGAAAAGUACCCGGAAGGGGAGUGAAAUAGAACUUGAAACCGUGUGCUUACAAGUAGUCAGAGCCCGUUAAUGGGUGAUGGCGUGCCUUUUGUAGAAUGAACCGGCGAGUUACGAUUUGAUGCAAGGUUAAGCAGUGAAUGUGGAGCCGUAGCGAAAGCGAGUCUGAAUAGGGCGUUGAGUAUUUGGUCGUAGACCCGAAACCAGGUGAUCUACCCAUGACCAGGUUGAAGUUCAGGUAACACUGAAUGGAGGACCGAACCGACUUACGUUGAAAAGUGAGCGGAUGAGUUGUGGGUAGCGGAGAAAUUCCAAUCGAACCUGGAGAUAGCUGGUUCUCUCCGAAAUAGCUUUAGGGCUAGCCUCAAGUGAUGAUUAUUGGAGGUAGAGCACUGUUUGGACGAGGGGCCCUUAUCGGGUUACCGAAUUCAGACAAACUCCGAAUGCCAAUCAAUUUAACUUGGGAGUCAGAACGCGGGUGAUAAGGUCCGUGUUCGAAAGGGAAACAGCCCAGACCACCAGCUAAGGUCCCAAAAUAUAUGUUAAGUGGAAAAGGAUGUGGCGUUGCCCAGACAACUAGGAUGUUGGCUUAGAAGCAGCCAUCAUUUAAAGAGUGCGUAAUAGCUCACUAGUCGAGUGACACUGCGCCGAAAAUGUACCGGGGCUAAACAUAUUACCGAAGCUGUGGAUUGUCCGUAAGGACAAUGGUAGGAGAGCGUUCUAAGGGCGUUGAAGCAUGAUCGCAAGGACAUGUGGAGCGCUUAGAAGUGAGAAUGCCGGUGUGAGUAGCGAAAGACGGGUGAGAAUCCCGUCCACCGAUUGACUAAGGUUUCCAGAGGAAGGCUCGUCCGCUCUGGGUUAGUCGGGUCCUAAGCUGAGGCCGAUAGGCGUAGGCGAUGGAUAACAGGUUGAUAUUCCUGUACCACCAUUAUUCGUUUUAAGCGAUGGGGGACGCAGUAGGAUAGGCGAAGCGUACGAUUGGAUUGUACGUCCAAGCAGUGAGAUUGAGUGUUAGGCAAAUCCGGCACUCUUAAGAUUGAGCUGUGAUGGGGAGAGGAAAUUGUUUCCUCGAGUCGUUGAUUUCACACUGCCAAGAAAAGCCUCUAGCUAGAAUUGUGGUGCCCGUACCGCAAACCGACACAGGUAGUCAAGAUGAGAAUUCUAAGGUGAGCGAGCGAACUCUCGUUAAGGAACUCGGCAAAAUGACCCCGUAACUUCGGGAGAAGGGGUGCUCUUUAGGGUUAACGCCCAGGAGAGCCGCAGUGAAUAGGCCCAAGCGACUGUUUAUCAAAAACACAGGUCUCUGCUAAACCGUAAGGUGAUGUAUAGGGGCUGACGCCUGCCCGGUGCUGGAAGGUUAAGAGGAGUGGUUAGCUUCUGCGAAGCUACGAAUCGAAGCCCCAGUAAACGGCGGCCGUAACUAUAACGGUCCUAAGGUAGCGAAAUUCCUUGUCGGGUAAGUUCCGACCCGCACGAAAGGCGUAACGAUUUGGGCACUGUCUCAACGAGAGACUCGGUGAAAUCAUAGUACCUGUGAAGAUGCAGGUUACCCGCGACAGGACGGAAAGACCCCGUGGAGCUUUACUGUAGUCUGAUAUUGAAAUUCGGCACAGCUUGUACAGGAUAGGUAGGAGCCUGAGAUACGUGAGCGCUAGCUUACGUGGAGGCGUUGGUGGGAUACUACCCUCGCUGUGUUGGAUUUCUAACCCGCACCAUUUAUCAUGGUGGGAGACAGUGUCAGAUGGGCAGUUUGACUGGGGCGGUCGCCUCCUAAAGAGUAACGGAGGCGCUCAAAGGUUUCCUCAGAAUGGUUGGAAAUCAUUCAUAGAGUGUAAAGGCAUAAGGAAGCUUGACUGCGAGACUUACAAGUCGAGCAGGGUCGAAAGACGGACUUAGUGAUCCGGUGGUUCCGCAUGGAAGGGCCAUCGCUCAACGGAUAAAAGCUACCCCGGGGAUAACAGGCUUAUCUCCCCCAAGAGUUCACAUCGACGGGGAGGUUUGGCACCUCGAUGUCGGCUCAUCGCAUCCUGGGGCUGUAGUCGGUCCCAAGGGUUGGGCUGUUCGCCCAUUAAAGCGGUACGCGAGCUGGGUUCAGAACGUCGUGAGACAGUUCGGUCCCUAUCCGUCGUGGGCGUAGGAAAUUUGAGAGGAGCUGUCCUUAGUACGAGAGGACCGGGAUGGACAUACCUCUGGUGUACCAGUUGUCGUGCCAACGGCAUCGCUGGGUAGCUAUGUAUGGACGGGAUAAGUGCUGAAAGCAUCUAAGCAUGAAGCCCCCCUCAAGAUGAGAUUUCCCAACUUCGGUUAUAAGAUCCCUCAAAGAUGAUGAGGUUAAUAGGUUCGAGGUGGAAGCAUAGCGAUAUGUGCAGCUGACGAAUACUAAUCGAUCGAAGACUUAAUCAA
rnacentral:rRNA from 1 species